rnacentral:rRNA from 1 species
UACGAAGGGAGCUAGCGUUGUUCGGAAUCACUGGGCGUAAAGCGCACGUAGGCGGAUGUGUCAGUCAGGGGUGAAAUCCCGGAGCUCAACUUCGGAACUGCCUUUGAUACAGCACGUCUUGAGUCCGAUAGAGGUGGGUGGAAUUCCUAGUGUAGUGGUGAAAUACUUAGAUAUGAUGUAGAACACCGAUUGCGAAGGCAGCUCACUAAAUUGUAACUGACGCUGAGGCACGAAAGCGUGGGGAUCAAACAGG